rnacentral:rRNA from 1 species
UACGAGAGGCCCAAACGUUAUUCGGAUUUACUGGGCUUAAAGAGUUUGUAGGCGGUUCGGUAAGUGAGAUGUGAAAGCCCUCGGCUCAACCGAGGAAUUGCGUUUCAAACUGCCGGGCUCGAGGGAGAUAGAGGUGAGCGGAACUGAUGGUGGAGCGGUGAAAUGCGUUGAUAUCAUCAGGAACACCAGAGGCGAAGGCGGCUCACUGGGUCUCUUCUGACGCUGAGAAACGAAAGCUAGGGGAGCAAACGGGAUUAGAUACCCCGGUAGUCCUAGCCGUAAACGAUGAGCACUGGACCGGAGCUCUGCACAGGGUUUCGGUCGUAGCGAAAGUGUUAAGUGCUCCGCCUGGGGAGUAUGGUCGCAAGGCUGAA